GAGAGGGGAGUGAUGGGUAGGCAGUGAUAGCUCAUCUCAAACAACAAGGUCUGGAGCUACAUCAUUUUAGAGAGGGGAGUGAUGGGUAGGCAGUGAUAGCUCAUCUCAAACAGCAAGGUCUGGAGCUACAUCAUUUUAGAGAGGGGAGUGAUGGGUAGGCAGUGAUAGCUCAUCUUAAACAGCAAGGUCUGGAGCUACAUCAUUUUAGAGAGGGGAGUGAUGGGUAGGCAGUGAUAGCUCAUCUUAAACAGCAAGGUCUGGAGCUACAUCAUUUUAGAGAGGGGAGUGAUGGGUAGGCAGUGAUAGCUCAUCUUAAACAGCAAGGUCUGGAGCUACAUCAUUUUAGAGAGGGGAGUGAUGGGUAGGCAGUGAUAGCUCAUCUUAAACAGCAAGGUCUGGAGCUACAUCAUUUUAGAGAGGGGAGUGAUGGGUAGGCAGUGAUAGCUCAUCUUAAACAGCAAGGUCUGGAGCUACAUCAUUUUAGAGAGGGGAGUGAUGGGUAGGCAGUGAUAGCUCAUCUUAAACAGCAAGGUCUGGAGCUACAUCAUUUUAGAGAGGGGAGUGAUGGGUAGGCAGUGAUAGCUCAUCUUAAACAGCAAGGUCUG